UUAAAAAGCUCGUAGUUGAACCUUGGGCCUGGCUGGCCGGUCCGCCUCACCGCGUGUACUGGCCCGGCCGGGCCUUUCCCUCUGUGGAACCCCAUGCCCUUCACUGGGUGUGGCGGGGAAACAGGACUUUUACUUUGAAAAAAUUAGAGUGCUCCAGGCUGGCCUAUGCUCGAAUACAUUAGCAUGGAAUAAUAGAAUAGGACGUGUGGUUCUAUUUUGUUGGUUUCUAGGACCGCCGUAAUGAUUAAUAGGGACAGUCGGGGG
rnacentral:rRNA from 1 species